rnacentral:rRNA from 1 species
UACUCCUACGGGAGGCAGCAUACUCGUACGGGAGGCAGCAGUGGGGAAUUUUGCGCAAUGGGGGAAACCCUGACGCAGCAACGCCGCGUGGAGGAUGAAAUGCCCUUGGGAUGUAAACUCCUUUCGAUAGGGAAGAUAAUGACGGUACCUAUAGAGAGAAGCCGUCCGGCUAGCUUCGUGCCAGCACCCGCGGUAAUAUGCCAGCAGCCGCGGUAAUA